AAAGGAUAGUGUUAAAUUGUGUAUGUUUACCGAAGGAAGAAAAUGCAUUCAUUACCUUCUUAUGUAAAAAAAAUAAAAACUUUACAAAAAGCUCGACUGACGGCAGCAUUGUGCACCAAUAGUGAGACAACUGUAUAUUCAGCUACAAUUAUGAACUUGCAACAGAAAUGUAUUAACCUUUUGAAUAGACAAGACUGAGUCAUUUUAUUCUACGUACCAUCAUAAUGUUAAUAAACCGG
rnacentral:lncRNA from 1 species